rnacentral:misc_RNA from 1 species
CAACAUCACAGAAAGGGAAACUCAGUGGCACAAACAGUAAAGGAGGCAACAAAUGAGCGGCACGUCGCUGGACUUCUUGCUGUCGGAGAUUCUUAGCCCCGACAAUGUUCAACGCGCUGCGGCGGAAAAGGAGCUGGAGCGGCGGGGCCUCGAGGUGCCCGGGUUCUGCUUCUCUCUUGCUCGCCACUGCCGAACGCUCAUGAACAACCAGUCUUCGCACGCCGUCGCGCUAGUAGCUUUGUCUGUUCUAAAGCGCAGUGUGACGGCGUCGGAUCGCGCGGAGGAGCUUGAGCAGGUUGUGUCUUCGCUCCUUUCGGACCUGACCGACAUCACAGUCCUACCUGGUGGCUCUGCAGCAGCGAUGCGGCAGUGGUCAUCGACGGUAUGCACAACUGUACGGCGCCUUGCCGUCUUGUGCGCUUCACAAACCGCGGCACCAGCCGCCGGCGAGGCCACGACUGGUGCGAUCACGGCGCAGCUGCUCGGUGCCUUUGACCAGUACCCAAACGCUGACGCCAGUGGACUGCUGCCGGUUUUCAGCCAUGUGUGGCUGCUGCGAACCAUGUUUGAGGAGCCGGUACCAGACGUGAUGCACGCAUGGUGUGCCGAGCUAAUUUUGAAUUGUGCGCCGCCUCUCUUCGAAAUCCUCUGCGCUGGCGCAGCUGCAACGCUGAGCAUGGCGUCGUCCGACUGCUCUGCGUUCGCGGCAGAUUCACCGGAGGCCUACGCACGCUGCUCUCUCUCGACCCUCAUUGCCCAAACCCUAGCAGCCCUCUAUGAAUGGCAGUUUGCGUCUAGUGGGCGGAAGCACUUCCCUGCUGAGCUCAAGCAGCACUUCCUCUCAGCCUAUCCGCUCCUCCAGUCUUUUAUGUGCACCCCAUGCGCGCGCUGGCUGUCAGUGUGCGUCGGCGCAACCUCGUCUUCUACAAGCGCUCUUCCAUUUGUGCAGGCGCGCGCGGCCAACUUUGCCGCAGCGUCGCUGGCCGCGCUCGAGUACGUGUCGAGUGUACUGCAGUUGGGUGGGUGGUACAAGCGAUGCGUUUCGGCGCAGCUCUUUCAGGCGCUGCUGCAGUCAUUGGAAGCUGACGCAGCUUACUAUGGGGCCGCGCUCUGCGUCGACGGUGAGGAGGAGGCGGAGAGCCUUAUAGCCAGCGCUGGGUGGACUGGGUGGCCACACACGGGGAGUGGCGGCGGUGAACAGGGCGAUGGCGCUUCGCCACACAGCUGGACAACAGUGGUGCGCCGGCGCGCCACGCAGUGCUGGUCGCUCUUUCGGGACGCAGCUUUGCUGCCUUUCCUCAAGGUUGGCCUAGUGGAUGUUGUGGGCCACCAAUGCGGGCUACAGUACUACAAGCUGCUGCUGGCCUACGCUGUCCCCUCGCCUGUCGAUGUGGGGGCGUGGCUUCACGACCCAAACACGUUUUUGCGCGAGGAAGAGGAGCGCGAGGACGGAGUGAGGUGGACAACCCGUAACACCGUCGCGCAGCUCUACACAGAUAGCAUAGCAGCUCUUGGCCCACUUUUCCUGCACGCCUCUUUGGAGGACUUGCACGAACGCCUCUUAGCGCGCAUCCCAGACAACGACGGCAGGACGUGCGGUGAUGGACAGACUUCCCUCGCCUAUGAUGGCACGGUAAUGCUCACCGCAUCGCAGCAGCAGCGAGAGGCAGCCCUUUUCUUCAUGGAAACGGUACUUAAGCACCGGGCGAGGCAGUUGCGCGAGUGCGGCGCAGUCGACUUUACGCCACUUGCUACGCACUUGUGGAGCAAUGACGUGGCAAGCGCUUCGGCGCACCCUGGCUUGACGGCCCGGGCGCUCAUGCUGAUAACCGCCAUCGUGCGAUUCACUCACUCGACUCUCGCGGCCUCCGAACCGGCCGCCUCCGCAGACGCCGCUGCGGCAACGAACACCGAAGCGGCAUCCGAGGGCUUUAUGGCCACUGUUGUGGCGGACAGCAUACACGCAUUGUCACUCUUUACGGGGACAUCAAAGGAGCCCAUCGCGGUGCCGUUAUCCUCAUGCACGCCACUGGUCGCAGUGCUCCUCUGCCGAGUUCUGCAAAGCACGCUGCCUUAUUGGUCCGAUGUAAUGCUUGCGCAGCACUCUGCUGCGUGGCAGGUCUCACUACUGGCGCUUCUGUCCUCCGAGGCAGGCCUUACUGAUGACGCGUUGUACAAUACGGUGGAGCAGUUGGCGGAUCUUCUCAAGGUUGCGCGUGCCGCACGGGAAAAGGGCACUCAGUCCCACUACGGUAGAGUGAGCACGGCAGCUGCAGCUCCGCCGAUGCUCGACGCUCUCCCACGGACGGUGAUGGACUGCUGGCGCCGUCACGUAAGCGAUCCUAACCUCGCGGAUGCCGUGCUGGGUUUGCUGCGCUACGUCGUACGCGACGGCGAAAGCGGCGCAUCGCUUUUGCUGCAGGAGCUGCCAUGGGUCAACGCUGUCCUCAGUGGCUUUGUCGAGUCUACAGCAGAGCUGUGCGCUGUUCCGCACUUUCUGCGUCUGCUCAAGUGCUUGUUUGAGCAUGCCCCGGACGAAGUGGCGAACUGUGCUGCUGCCAUGAUGCUAGACAGUCUGUGCCAACUUCUCUUGUGUACCGAGGAGUCCGCGAUCCUUGGCGCGUCGAGCAGUUGCCUUGCCGCUCUGCUGCGUCGCUGUCUUGCAGUGCAGUCGGUGCAGGUGCGCGUUGUCGCGGCAACCAUGGAGGCUGCCAUGGCGGGUGGCGCUACUGCCGAUGAAGGCGGCCUCUCCGGUGCCGUCGGUACCACCGCGCGCUUGGCGGACGCUCCUCGCACCGUCUACCCCUUCGCCACCGUCAUCGUCGCUUUUGUCCUCCGCACGCUCGAUGGCCGCCGUGAUGAGGCGUCGCUGAUGGACGUGGGCGAUGCUCUCCUGACCAUUAUGCAGAAGUACACUAGCUUCUCCGAGGCGGAGCUGAUCCGUAUCAUCCACGCUACUGUGCGCCGACUUUCUAUCGUGCGCACCGAUACUGUUGCGCAGCAGUUACUGGCUCCUUUGGCCACCUUGAUGGUGCUUCAUCCUGCAGCUCUGCUGCGGACACUGGCGCAAGGGGGGUUUCUCGUGGAGACGAUGAGCCGUUGGCUGCCGCAAGUGGAGCACUUCUCGAAUUUGCGCGCCACCUUUGUUUCAUGCGAGGGGCUGCUCAAAAUGCUCUCGUACUUAUCUCAGCCAUCAUCGUCGCCGAUGCUGACGGCAGAGGAAGUACAGCAGCUGGCGCAGCAGCCGGUGACAUGCCGCUGGCUCCUGCCUGAGGAACUCACCGAGAGCAAGAAGGGUUCGCGUAAGGCGUCGCGCAAAGGCAGCAAAGGGGUCUCAGCCGCGGCAACGCGUCGUGUCAUUUUGUCCUCGCUCACCCGGGGGGCUUCGGUGGAGACGUCGCUCCCAUUGUACGCCGGGGUGCUCGUCGGCGUCGGUCGCGGUCUGCUGACGUUGCUGGCGGCUCCUCCUGCUGCUCUGUGUCGCGCCAGUCAAGCAGCUGGCGACACCGCGACGCCCGGAAACGGGAUCGGUGCGGGCGUUUUUCCGUUGGACGAGGAUGAUGACGACAGCAACGGACUUUUCCGUGGGGACAGCGCCGACGGCAGUGACCCCGAGGCAGAGGACACGUGGGAAGAGGACGUGGACAGCUCCUCCGACGACGAGACUGGAGGUGACGCACGGCAGUCGGAGGCGCCGGACAUCAACGCAUACUCGCCAGAGACGACGGAUCGACAACGGUUGCUGCGCCCAAUGGGUGAACAGAUGCUACCGUGGAUGCAGACACACGGCGGUGAAGUGGCAUCGUUUUUUACUCUGCAAGAGGCACAAACACUGACGUCUUUCUUCACCUCCUGUGCAGCGAGUGGUGGAUGUGGGCCCUCAGCGGCGUGAAGAUGACCUAAUCUGUCUCUGCGCACACUGUGAAGGAGAGGGGGGGGGCGAGGUAUGGUGAAGACGACAAGUCCCUCGACAUUUCCUCCACCGACCUGCUCUUUCAACUCUUUGUUGUUGCCGUGUUAUUGUAACAGACCUCAUCCACCGUGCGCAUCGCCGCGUCUUCAUCCCAUUUUACCUACCUCUCUCUUGCAAUGCAUCCACAUCACGAGUAACAGCUGCUUCGUGCCACCCAUAGGGAAGCACCGGCUAACCUAAGCAAGCAACUUAAGAACGAAACGAUACGAAAAGGAGGGUCGCUACCCCACCCCCAAGGACACACACACACACACACACACUGUGUGUGUGUGCAGCAAGAAAGGGGCUCGGUCAUUGCGUCUCUGUGCACAGCGGUUCUGCAGCUCUGCCACAGCGUGCGCUAGUCAAGGAUUGACGUUCAAAUAGUGAGUGGCUGCCGUUUUCGUCGUUUACUUUGUACGCGGCAACGCCGUCAGACUACUUGUUUCUCUUCUUCUCUCACCCCCUCGCCUUCCUGUCCUUUACUUGUCUUGCUUGUAUGGAAACAUGAACGUGCAUCCGUGCGCGUGUUUCUCCCACUUCCUCUUUGUGCCCUCCCCCUUCGUCGUGGCGUGCAACUUUCUUUUGUGGCGUCUGCGCCCUACAUCUAG